rnacentral:rRNA from 1 species
AACGAACGCUGGCGGCAUGCCUAACACAUGCAAGUCGAACGAAGCCUUCGGGCUUAGUGGCGCACGGGUGCGUAACACGUGGGAAUCUGCCCUUUGGUUCGGAAUAACAGUUAGAAAUGACUGCUAAUACCGGAUAAUGACGUAAGUCCAAAGAUUUAUCGCCGAAGGAUGAGCCCGCGUAGGGAUUAGGUAGUUGGUGGGGGUAAAUGGCCCACCAAGCCGACGAUCCUUAGCUGGUCUGAGAGGAUGAUCAGCCACACUGGGACUGAGACACGGCCCAGACUCCUACGGGAGGCAGCAGUGGGGAAUAUUGGACAAUGGGCGAAAGCCUGAUCCAGCAAUGCCGCGUGAGUGAUGAAGGCCUUAGGGUUGUAAAGCUCUUUUACCAGGGAUGAUAAUGACAGUACCUGGAGAAUAAGCUCCGGCUAAACUCCGUGCCAGCAGCCGCGGUAA